rnacentral:rRNA from 1 species
UACGUAGGUGGCAAGCGUUGUCCGGAUUUACUGGGCGUAAGGGCGUGCAGGCGGUCUGUUAAGUCUAGGGUGAAAGCUCCCGGCUCAACUGGGAGAGGUCCUUGGAUACUGGCGGACUUGAGGGAGGCAGAGGAGUAUGGAAUUCCCGGUGUAGUGGUGAUAUGCGUAGAUAUCGGGAGGAACACCAGUGGCGAAGGCGGUACUCUGGGCCUUACCUGACGCUGAGACGCGAAAGCGUGGGGAGCGAACCGG